UCCUAGUCAGAUUCCUUAACCACUGUGCUACGAUGGGAACUCCUAUCUCUUUUAUUUCUGAGUCUGUUCCUUUCUGACUCAUCUUUCUCCUGGAUGUGGAUCACAUCUUCCUGUUUCUUCGCAUGUCUACUCAUUUUUUUUUUUUUUUUUGGAGUGCAUUUUUUUUUAAACUUUAUUGAGAUGUAAUUUACAAAUUAUAAAGCUAACCCACUUUAAGUAAUUCAGUUAGUUCUUUGUAUAUUAUGGACAUAAAUCCUUUUAAGACACAUGACAUGCAAAUAUUUUCUCACAAUCUAUGACUUAUCUUUUUACUUUCUUUUUUGGCCACCUUGCAGAAUAUGGAGUUCUUGGGCCAGGGAUCAGAUCUGAGCCACAGCUGCAAGUGCCGAAACAGGAGCAAUGCCGGAUCCUUAUCCCACUGUUUGGGGCCGGGCCCAGGGAUUGAACCUGUGUUCCACCCCUGCAGAGAUACUACUGCCUGUUGUGCCACAGAGGGAACUCCUUCUUUUUCUUUUCUUUUUUAGUCGAGGUAUAGUUGACUUAGAAUGUUGUGUUAGUUUCAGGGGUAGAGCAAAGUGAUUUGGUUAUACAUUAUCUAUUCUUUUUCAGAUUCUUUCCCCUUAUAGGUUAUUACAAAAUACUGAGUAUAGUUCCCUGUGCUGAACAGUAGUUGAUGUUUGUUUUGGUAGGCAGUAAACUCACAGCUUAGCUUGAUCCUUUCUAGACUUGUUUUUAAGCUUUCUGAGGUCUGGUCCACUCCACUACUAAGGCACGACAAUUCUGGGAUUGCUCUAAAUGCCCUCACAUUCAAUGAGUCCUCUCCACUUCUGGCCCCAGGAACUCAAAACAUCUCCUACGCCUAAAUUGGCUCUGGGAACUGUUCAGCUUUUAGCCACCUGGCAGCUGUCCUAUUUUUGGCUUUGUGGAGCUUUAGCUAAGUGUUUACAGAUAAAUACUCCAUCACAGACUUCAGAAGAACUCAGAGAGAUUUCUGGAAAACUUUGUCUGUACAGCUCCCUCCUCUCUGAUACCAGCUCUGCUCCAUGAAUUCCAGCUGCCUCAGCCUCCCCAAGUGCAUCUUUGUCUCUUCAACUCUGCCAGACUCCCAGAUUCUCUCUGGGUUCAUUUCCCUGUGCUAAAGUCUAGCAAUUGCUGCAGGUAGAAAUCCAGGACAACGGUAGGGAGGACUCACCUAGCUCAUUUCCUUUCCCUCAGAGGUCACAGCACUGCCCUGUUGUUAUCAAAGGAUUCAUGCAUUUUCUCCAGUUUGCUUGCUGCUUAUACUGGGAGGGUGCGACCUGAACCACUUACUACUUAAUCCGCAGGUGGAUUUCUACUUGCCUGGUUUCCAAGGCUCAGUUCAGCCAGCAUCUCCCCUGGGAAACCUUUUGGUUCCAGCAUUUUUUUGUAAGGGCUGCGCUGUCAUCUACUCAUUUAGGCUCUUGAUGCUCCUUUUACACCCACUCCGGGACUGCGAGGUACUUAGGGUGUGAAUUGCAAUAGCUUGGUGUCUUUCAUUCCUACCGCAACACUUGGGACAUAGCAGCUGCUCAGUAAUUGUUCACUGAUAAAAUGAGUAAAUUGCACGGCUUUAAGGUUUGCCAAGAGCGCUCUCCACUCAUCCCCUAAGUCUUCUCCCUGGUCUCUCAAACUCUGGAACAACUUAACUGUAAACCCUCUUUGCCCGCUGGACUUCGCUGCAACGAAACUGGCUGGCGGCCAUGCAGUGGUAGACCCUCCUGCCUUGGUGGUACCUGGCGAAGCAGUGCGUGGGGUGCAGGGUGUGAUGCGUCACUUCCGGCGAGGGUGGGGCAGCAGUGUGUUCAGUAUCCUCAAUUUCCGCUUCUGCAUGGACGUGGAGGCGCAGGUACACGUGGGCCCGAAUUGCUCGCCACUGCCGUGGAGGCUCCGCUAGGGCCAUACCUGUUUGGGAGGUGUAAGUCAGUACAGCCGUGGGGUUCACUUGCGAUAGCAGCUAAUGUUGCUCCGUCUCAUGUCUCUUUGAAAAAGGGGGGUGAAUUUUCAUUUUCCUUACUGCGCACUUGGUAGCCCCAGUGUGCAUCUGAGGAUGCUUCAAAGCCCACACGUCCAAGCCUGAGCUGUUUUCCCGGGCAAAACUGUUUUCCUGUGCUCUUUAUCCCGGCCGGUGGGUAAUUAUCCAUCUAUUCCUAACAACCUCCUUCUCUCCCCCUCAGCAUCCAAUCGCCUAUCAGCUUAGUCCGUUUUACUUUUUAAAUAUGCCUUUGAUCUGUCCACCUCUUUCUGUUCUCACUGCAACCACACUAAACCAAGUUGUUCAUAUCUUUCAUGAGGACCAGUGCUGCAGCCGCAUUCUGUUUAUUCCCUGGCCCAAGACUGCCUCUUAAUCAAUACAUUUUUCAGACUUGAUUUUUUCAAAGCCAGUGACUCCUAAACCAAUUCCCACUCCCUACUCUUGAGAUCUCAUAACAGAAAGUAACACUUUUUAGUAGCUCUGGCCACGGUAAUCAUUUUUAUUUACCUAUGUGAUUCUUUAAUAUGUUUUCUCACACAGAGCUAACAGAAACAUCUUUUAAAAAAUUAAUUAAUUCAGUUCUAUUUACUUAUUUUUGGCUGCAUACUUAAGGUGCUUGAUGUGGGGGUCUCAGUUCCCAGGAAUGAAGGAUUGAACUGAGGCUGCAGCAGUGUAAGGGCCAAGUUCCAACCACUAGACCACCAGGGGACUCCCAGGAAAUGUCUCUCUCUUUUUUUGGUGCUUAUCACUGGAUCUUCGAUAGGUCUUUGUGUACAACUUAAAUGUUUUCUAAAUGAGUAUCUGAUUUUCCCUAAAAUAUUUCUUGGACAAUCCUUCCUUUCUCUACUUUAAAUACUUUUUUCUCAGGAGUUUCCCUCGUGGUGCAGGGGAAAUGAAUCUGACUAGUAUCCAUGAGGAUGUGUGGGUUUGAUCCCUGGCCUUGUUCAGUGGGUCAGCAAUCUGGUGUUGCCGUGAACUGUGGUGUAGGCCACAGAUAGAACUUGGAUCCCGUGUUGCUGUGGCUGA
rnacentral:lncRNA from 1 species